GCCCACGGGCCACCAUGCAGUCGAACGGUAGCACAGAGGAGCUUGCUCCUUGGGGACGAGUGGCGGACGGGUGAGUAAUGUCUGGGAAACUGCCCGAUGGGGGGGAUAACUACUGGAAACGGUGCUAAUACCGCAUAACGUCGCAAGACCAAAGAGGGGGACCUUCGGGCCUCUUGCCAUCGAUGUGCCCAGAUGGGAUUACUAGUAGGUGGGGUAACGGCUCACCUAGCACGAUCCCUACUGGUCUGAGAGGAUGACCACCCACUGGAACUGAGACCGGCCAACUCCUACGGGAGGCAGCGUGGGGAAUAUUGCACAUGGGCGCAGCCUGAUGCACCAUGCCCCGGUUAAAAAGGCCUUCGGGUUGUAAAGUACUUUCAGCGAGGAGGAAGGAAUUAGUAAUAACCUUCGAUUGACGUUACUCGCAAAGAAGCACCGGUAACUCCGUGCCAGAUCACUCUAACGGAGGGUGCAAGCGUUAAUCGGAAUUACUGCGCGUAAAGUGCACGCGCGUCUGUCAAGUCGAUGGGAAAUCCCCGGUCAACCUGGGAACUGCUCGAAACUGGCAGGUCGAUCUUGUAAGGGGGGUAGAAUUCCGUGACCGUUGAAAUGCGUAAAUCUGAGAAUACCGGUGGCAAGGGCCUCUGACAAAGACUGACGCUCAAGUACGAAGCGUGGGAGCAAACAGAUUACAUACCCUGGUACCCCGCCGUAACAUGUCGACUUGUUAGGUUGUGCCCUUGGUCUGCCAUCCGAGCUAACGUGUUAACUCACCGCUGCGAACACGCCAGGUUAAACCUCUAUGAAUUGCCGGGGGCCCGUAA
rnacentral:rRNA from 1 species